GUCAAGAUAGUUUAAUAAAACAUUAGGUCGUGACCCUAACAAUAGAUGCUACUUCUUCUUGACC
rnacentral:tRNA from 1 species